ACAGGGCAGUUUGGCUGUUGGAGGCCAGGCAGCAACAUUGCCUGGCUGGAGGGCUGCUGAGGACAAUCAGGAGGUUCUUCUGUGGGACUCAUGUAUGCAUACUUCAGAAGCUUUUACUUGUUCAACCUUCACCACCUCUGUGAUGUGACAGUGGCCCAGACUGCAGGCAGAAGCUCCCAAGAGGAUUGGCGACUUAUGCUCCCCAGAGGAUUGCCGGCUUUGCAGUUC